CCCGAGAUGGCCCGGGUGAGCGGCCUGAGCCGGGCCCGGGUGAGCGGCCUGAGCCGGGCCCGGGUGAGCGGCCCGAGAGGGCCCCCGCACCCCGGGGCUGCGGAGCGCUGCUCGGGCCGGGGCUGGCACAGCUCCCUGCUCCUGGAAAUGUCCGCUCCGAGGCAGAGCCGUGCUCCUGGAAAGCAGAGCUGCCCUGGAGCCAAAAGCGGCCCUGUAAAACGCGGGCAGGGGCGGAGAGCGCUCGGCACGCAGGAUUAGCAAACCAUCCACGGAGCAUCCGCAGGGCUGUGUAGUUACUGUGUAUGCAUUUCAGCUAAACAAGACAAAUCUGGCUGAUGAUUGUGUCUAACUAGGAAGAAUGAUUGAAGGCACACCUUGAACCUGAAGCCCCUCAUCCUCCCGCAGCAGCCGAAGGCGCAGGGAUGGGGGUCCUGCUCCUGCCCCCUCUGAGGGCAGCGCUGUGUCUGUCCCGGGGACCUGGCAGCAUUUGUGAUGCUUCUGCUCUGCACAGACACAGCUCUAGGAUGAGACACAAUGGAUAUGUGAAUGAACUGGACAUUUGUCUUCUCAUCCAUCCACACGCUGCAGCCCCAGAUGGAUCCUGCAGCUGCCCCUGCACCGUGGCCAGGCUGGAAGCCUGGAGCAUCCCACAGGUGACCUCCUCUUCCCCAGCAGCCCACCUGAUCCAGGUCUUCUCUGCAGAGCCACCAGCUCAGCUCUGCAGGAACAUCCCACACAGCCCUUCCCAGCACAGGGACAUCGUGGCACAAGGACCAGCCAUUGGUGGCCUGUCCUUCCAGCACUGUGCUGGCAGAGGUGACUCUGCUGGGACACCUGUGCCAGCCCUGGGACAGGCUCUGGACAUCAUCUGGAGGUGA
rnacentral:lncRNA from 1 species